rnacentral:rRNA from 1 species
GAAAGGUGACCGGACCCUUCGGGAGCUUGCACAGGUGCUGCAUGGCUGUCGUCAGCUCGUGUCGUGAGAUGUUCGGUUAAGUCCGCUAACGAGCGCAACCCUCGCCGUGUGUUAUAUGUGUCACACGGGACUGCCGGUCUUAAGCCGGAGGAAGGUGGGGAUGAUGUCAAGUCAGCAUGGCCUUUAUAUCCCUGGGCUACACACACGCUACAAUGGCCAACACAAUAGGUUGCUAAGCCGCGAGGUGGCGCCAAUCCAUAAAGUUGGUCUCAGUUCAGAUUGUAGGCUGCAACCCGCCUGCAUGAAGAUGGAGUUGCUAGUAACCGCAGGUCAGCUAUACUGCGGUGAAUACGUUCCCGGGGCUU